rnacentral:rRNA from 1 species
AUUGAACGCUGGCGGCAGGCCUAACACAUGCAAGUCGAACGAGUGGCGGACGGGUGAGUUAUGUCUGGGACACUGCCCGAUGGAGGGGGAUAACUACUGGAAACGGUAGCUAAUACCGCAUACCAUCGGAUGUGCCUAGAUGGGAUUAGCUAGUAGGUGGGGUAAAGGCUCACCUAGGCGACGAUCCCUAGCUGGUCUGAGAGGACGACCAGCCACACUGGAACGGAGACACGGUCCAGACUCCUACGGGAGGCAGCAGUGGGGAAUAUUGCAAAAUGGGCGCAAGCCUGAUGCAGCCAUGCCGCGUGUAUGAAGAAGGCCCUCGGGUUGUAAAGUACUUUCAGCGGGGAGGCGUUACCCACAGAAGAAGCACCGGCUAACUCCGUGCCAGCAGCCGCGGUAAUUC